UUUAUGGAGAGUUUGAUCCUGGCUCAGGACGAACGCUGGCGGCGUGCUUAACACAUGCAAGUCGAACGAUGAAGUCUCUUCGGAGAUGGAUUAGUGGCGAACGGGUGAGGAACACGUGAACAAUCUGCCCUUAACACGGGAAUAACUUCGGGAAAUCGAAGCUAAUACCCGAUAUUGAAUUUGGUACGCAUGUACUGAAUUUGAAAUGGUCCGCCGGUUAAGGAUGAGUUCGCGGCCUAUCAGCUUGUUGGUGAGGUAAUGGCUCACCAAGGCGACGACGGGUAGCCGGCCUGAGAGGGCGACCGGCCACACUGGGACUGAGAUACGGCCCAGACUCCUACGGGAGGCAGCAGUGGGGAAUAUUGCGCAAUGGACGAAAGUCUGACGCAGCAACGCCGCGUGAGGGAUGAAGGCCUUCGGGUUGUAAACCUCUUUCAAUUGGGACGAAGCGAAAGUGACGGUACCAAUACAAGAAGCACCGGCUAACUAUGUGCCAGCAGCCGCGGUAAUACAUAGGGUGCAAGCGUUGUCCGGAUUUAUUGGGCGUAAAGAGCUCGUAGGCGGUCAAUCACGUCGGAUGUGAAAACUUGGGGCUUAACCCCAAGCCUGCAUCCGAUACGGAUUAACUAGAAAGCAGUAGGGGAGAUUGGAAUUCCUGGUGUAGCGGUGGAAUGCGCAGAUAUCAGGAGGAACACCAGUGGCGAAGGCGGAUCUCUGGGCUGUAUUUGACGCUGAGGAGCGAAAGCGUGGGGAGCAAACAGGAUUAGAUACCCUGGUAGUCCACGCUGUAAACGGUGGGCGCUAGUUGUGGGGGACUUCCACGUUCUCUGCGACGUCGCUAACGCAUUAAGCGCCCCGCCUGGGGAGUACGGCCGCAAGGCUAAAACUCAAAGGAAUUGACGGGGGCCCGCACAAGCAGCGGAGCAUGCGGCUUAAUUCGAUGCAACGCGAAGAACCUUACCUAGGCUUGACAUGCAUUG
rfam:Actinobacterium acAMD-5 AMD-COM-C12, whole genome shotgun sequence.